UGGAUCCAGACUUUGAUUAUGGCUCAGGACGAACGCUGGCGGCGUGCUUAACACAUGCAAGUCGAACGAAGCUUGAUUUAUGAUUUCUUCGGAAUGAAUAAUGAUAUGACUGAGUGGCGGACGGGUGAGUAACGCGUGAGCAACCUGCCCUUCGGAGGGGGAUAGCGUCUGGAAACGGACGGUAAUACCGCAUAAAGUGUCUUGACCGCAUGGUCGAGAUACCAAAACUGAGGUGCCGAAGGAUGGGCUCGCGUUGGAUUAGAUAGUUGGUGGGGUAACGGCCUACCAAGUCGACGAUCCAUAGCCGGACUGAGAGGUUGAACGGCCACAUUGGGACUGAGACACGGCCCAGACUCCUACGGGAGGCAGCAGUGGGGAAUAUUGCACAAUGGGGGAAACCCUGAUGCAGCAACGCCGCGUGAAGGAAGACGGUUUUCGGAUUGUAAACUUCUGUUCUUAGUGAAGAAUAAUGACGGUAGCUAAGGAGCAAGCCACGGCUAACUACGUGCCAGCAGCCGCGGUAAUACGUAGGUGGCAAGCGUUGUCCGGAAUUACUGGGUGUAAAGGGAGCGCAGGCGGGAAGCCAAGUCAGCUGUGAAAACUACAGGCUUAACUUGUAGACUGCAGUUGAAACUGGUUUUCUUGAGUGAAGUAGAGGUUGGCGGAAUUCCGAGUGUAGCGGUGAAAUGCGUAGAUAUUCGGAGGAACACCGGUGGCGAAGGCGGCCAACUGGGCUUUAACUGACGCUGAGGCUCGAAAGUGUGGGGAGCAAACAGGAUUAGAUACCCUGGUAGUCCACACUGUAAACGAUGAUUGCUAGGUGUGGGGGGUCUGACCCCUUCCGUGCCGCAGCUAACGCAAUAAGCAAUCCACCUGGGGAGUACGACCGCAAGGUCGCAACUCAAAGGAAUUGACGGA
rnacentral:rRNA from 1 species